UACGAGAGCCUCGAGCGUUAUCCGGAAUUAUUGGGCGUAAAGGGUGCGUAGGUUGUUCUGUUAGUCUUUUGUCAAAGCCCCGAGCUUAACUUGGGAUACGCGAAAGAAACGGCAGGACUUGAAAGUGCGAGAGGCGUACGGAACUCAUGGUGUAGGGGUGAAAUCCGUUGAUAUCAUGGGGAACACCAAAAGCGAAAGCAGUACGCUGGCGCAUAUUUGACAUUGAAGCACGAAAGCGUGGGUAGCGAAUGGG
rnacentral:rRNA from 1 species